rnacentral:tRNA from 1 species
CGGGGUAUGGCGCAGUCUGGUAGCGCACCUGCUUUGGGAGCAGGGAGUCGGCGGUUCGAAUCCGUCUACCCCGACCA